CAAUCAGAGACACUAACCCAUUUCACUGGUGUCUCUGGGAUCAUCUGGGUGUAACAGACACUGCAGGGAGAUGGAGCCAGCUGACACUUGGGGGCAGUUUGGAGGCGAGUCAUAAAGGCACGAGGAUCAGAAACAUGACCUCUGGAAGGUCAGGCCCAGAGACUUGAGGGAGGAAAGGGCAGGAAGGCCUUUUUCAGGAGACAGCCAGGGAAUUGAGCAGAGAAUUCUACUGCAGGGCAAAAAACUCUGCCCUCCACAUCUCAGAGCAGGAGGUCAAAUAUUAGCUCUUGCUACAGAGCCCUGGCCCGGGGUUUCUGUCUGUGUGUUCCUGCCCAUGAACAGCCAGGCUAGAAUUUUAUUACUUUGGCCAAAGGCCUUUGCGGGAAAUAUUCUCACCCGAUAAAGUGCUUGAAAUUUUGCAUGCAUCACCCAGUCUCCCUUGGCUCUAUUUUUCUUCUGGUGGGAGCAGGAGGUGAGUUAUGACCACAGCCCCUCCCCUGCCAGGCUAGGUGAUUACUUUUGCAUUUUCUCCUACAGCCAUGAAGUCAUUUUUUUGUUAAGCAAUUUAAAAAGUAGAAACAGUCAUAGGGGAAAAAAAAAUCUUAACAAAGCACCUAGGCAAAGAGAGACAUAACAUGUCGCGGUGUUUCGAAAAAGAUCAUUUUGCUGGUUUAUGUUGAUAUCGUUUAAACUGCUGCAUUUCAUUGUCUUCAGUUAUUUUUGAGAUAACCUAGCAGUUCUCUUUUGAAGGCUUAUUAUGUUGAAUUUAUGUACAUGUUCGUAUAUGCAGAGGCUUUUUCUUUAAGUACAUUUAAGUACAUUUCUUUAAGAUGUGAAAUAAACAAAAAGCUCUAUUUCUGCCCACUCCCCCUCUCCCAAACUCCACCUAAGGGAGAGCCGGCCACCCACAGCCCACGUGCUACAGCUGUAGUUUAUAAGCUGCAUCCCCUCCUCAUCUCUUCUCACCACUGCCCCACUGGAGGAGGGGUAACCCAGAGUCCAGACGAUGACCUUAGCAUACAACUCUAAUGGACCUGCCACAAAAUAGGAGCUGAGUGCAGUAGUUUUCUUGGUCUGGAAUUGGGAAACAUGGAGAGACUGAGGCAGCAGAGGCUGAAAUGGAAAGCUCAAGGAACGGGACCAGGGUGACCUCAGCAAAACAGAAAUGAAACCAGCUUGUAGUUUUCUCUUGAUUUGAAGUUUGUAAACCACUUUACUUUAAAAAAAAAAAAAAACAGAAUGAAUUAGGUCUUUAGUGGAAGUUGGGUAUUUCACCACCCUGAAUAAAUCCUCCCAGUAAAACCAGGGCAUGGCAUGGAGGCAGGAGUGAAAUCAGGAAGUGGCUUUUCCAUGUACCUGAUGCCGUACCAAGGGGCUCACCCACUGGAGUAAUCUAGAAGUUUGCAAAGACCCCAUGUGUGUUGAUGUUGGGCCCCCUCAUUUCUUCCACUCCAUGUAAAACUAUGCGAAGUCCUGAGUUCAUAGAGGCUGACGUCCUUUGGAAUUACUGCCUUAACGAGGGAGAGAAUUAAUCUCAUUACUGAAAGUACUUCGUCUUCUUGUCUGACUUUGGUUUUACCAUUUACAAAAAGGCAGGGAAUCCCAGCUUACUCCAUCCCUGUGUUACCAGGAUAGAUUGCCGAUAAUGUGAGACCGUGAAGGAGGCAGUGCUGAAUGAUUCUCAGGGCAGAUGCUAUGCAAAUGCAAGACGCAAUAAUAGCCAUGCUCCUCACACCUGAGCCCACCAUAACCUUUGGAUUGCCUUCUUGGAAAUACGAUGAGAGUUGAUAUUUAAUAAAGCUCAUGGUUUUUUUUCGAAGAUUGUGGUAGCGAAUCUUGCUGAGCGGAUUUAGGCUUUAGUGACCUUUCUAUGCCAUUACAAAUAGUGUCAGCAGGUUAACGCAAUGCAGAAUGUGCUCAGUGUUGUAGAGAAAAAGGCUUUAUGUCUUUAUUAGUCUUUUUUUUAAAAAAAGAUUACUUCAGGCUUCCAUUUCACUGGUUUGUCCAUUAGAAUCUGCCCGAAUUGGGGGCCAGUUUACGCUACGCAUGAAGAGAGCAUGAUAAUCAUGCCUAUAUGGAGAGUCAGCGAACUAUGGAUUGCAAUACUUUGCAGAGAUAUUGCACUUACUGCAAAGCCCCAUGGCCUAAUUAUUUUAUCUACCUCAAGACUUGUGAACAUGGAGGACACCUAAUAUGUGUGUUUACGUGUUUCUGUUUUAUUAUUUCACACUAAGCUGUUUGGACCUCUGGCGUAUGAGGUCUUGACUUUUAGCAUCACAAUGGCUUAAAGCAAAACAUGCCUAUUUUAUUAAAAAUUAGAAAAUACAUCAUAUGCACAAAAUAACAUAGCAAACAUAUGGCUGGUGUAAAGAAGAAGGAUAAAAUAAACGUCAAUAUAACUACCAGUCUGGUCGGAAAACAGGAUUAGUGGCACUUAGGAAUCCCCUGGGUGCCUCUGCCUGACUGCACACUCUCCCACCCCACCUGGAGGUAUCAACCAGCCUGUAUUUUGUGUUAAUAAUUUCAUUGCUUUUCUUGGUAGUUGUUCUGUGUAAUUAUUCCCAAGUAAUACAUUUAGUUUUGCCUAACUCUGUAUAAUUGGCAUCACCUUCCAUGUAUUCUUUCUUCUUUAACUUUACAUUAUCUUUGCGGUUCCUUGACAUUGAUAUAAUGUUCAAUUGUGAACAUACCACAUUUAUUGAUUCAUUCUACUGUUGAUAAACGUUUGGGUUGUUUCCAGAUUUCCACAAGUGUGACGAUGCUAUGUGGACAUUCUUAAAUUACGUUUCCUGGUGCAAGAGUUUCUCCAGGGUUUAUACCAAGAAGUGGAAUUGUUGGAUCUUAGGAUAAACACAAUUUGAAUCACGUCAAAAUGUUUCCUAAGAAGUUGCGCUACAUUUUAAUCUCUAACCAGCAGUCAACAGGCAUUGCUUGUUUUUUUCUCUGUCUUCAUCAAAACUUAAAAUUGCCAACCUGAUAGUGUAAAGCAGGCAUCCCCAAGCUUU